CUACGGAAGGCAGCAGUGGGGAAUAUUGGUCAAUGGACGAGAGUCUGAACCAGCCAAGUCGCGUGAAGGAAGACGGUUCUAUGAAUUGUAAACUUCUUUUGUGCAGGAAUAAAGUGGGUUACGUGUAACCUUUUGUAUGUACUGUACGAAUAAGGAUCGGCUAACUCCGUGCCAGCAGCCGCGGUAAUACGGAGGAUCCGAGCGUUAUCCGGAUUUAUUGGGUUUAAAGGGUGCGUAGGUGGAUUGAUAAGUCAGCGGUGAAAGUUUGCAGCUUAACUGUAAAAUUGCCGUUGAAACUGUCGGUCUUGAGUGCAAAUGAGAUAGGCGGAAUGUGUUGUGUAGCGGUGAAAUGCUUAGAUAUAACACAGAACUCCGAUUGCGAAGGCAGCUUACUGGGAUGCAACUGACACUGAUGCACGAAAGCGUGGGUAUCAAACAGGAUUAGAUACCCUGGUAGU
rnacentral:rRNA from 1 species